AUUGAACGCUGGCGGCAGGCCUAACACAUGCAAGUCGAACGGUAACAGGAAGAAGCUUGCUUCUUUGCUGACGAGUGGCGGACGGGUGAGUCAUGUCUGGGAAACUGCCUGAUGGAGGGGGAUAACUACUGGAAACGGUAGCUAAUACCGCAUAACGUCGCAAGACCAAAAAGGGGGACCUUCGGGCCUCUUGCCAUCGGAUUUGCCCAGAUGGGAUUAGCUAGUAGGUGGGGUAACGGCUCACCUAGGCGACGAUCCCUAGCUGGUCUGAGAGGAUGACCAGCCACACUGGAACUGAGACACGGUCCAGACUCCUACGGGAGGCAGCAGUGGGGAAUAUUGCACAAUGGGCGCAAGCCUGAUGCAGCCAUGCCGCGUGUAUGAAGAAGGCCUUCGGGUUGUAAAGUACUUUCAGCGGGGAGGAAGGGAGUAAAGUUAAUACCUUUGCUCAUUGACGUUACCCGCAGAAGAAGCACCGGCUAACUCCGUG
rnacentral:rRNA from 1 species